rnacentral:rRNA from 1 species
CAGUCGCCGCGGUAAUACGUAGGGUGCAAGCGUUAAUCGGAAUUACUGGGCGUAAAGCGUGCGCAGGCGGUUUUGUAAGUCUGUCGUGAAAUCCCCGGGCUCAACCUGGGAAUGGCGAUGGAGACUGCAAGGCUAGAAUCUGGCAGAGGGGGGUAGAAUUCCACGUGUAGCAGUGAAAUGCGUAGAUAUGUGGAGGAACACCGAUGGCGAAGGCAGCCCCCUGGGCUAAGAUUGACGCUCAUGCACGAAAGCGUGGGGAGCAAACAGGAUUAGAGACCCGCGUAGUCCCUGUCUCUUAUAC